UCGAGAAUUUUUCUCAAUGGGCGAAAGCCUGAAGGAGCGACGCCGCGUGGGGGAUGAAGGGUUUCGAUCCGUAAACCCCUGUCAUUUGUGAACAAUGUUUAUCCAUGAACAAUGGGUGAAUUGAUAGUAACGAAAGAGGAAGGGACGGCUAACUCUGUGCCAGCAGCCGCGGUAAUACAGAGGUCCCAAGCGUUGUUCGGAUUCACUGGGCGUAAAGGGUGCGUAGGUGGCGGGGUAAGUUUGAUGUGAAAUCUCCGAGCUUAACUCGGAAAUGGCAUUGAAUACUAUUCUGCUCGAGGUUUGGAGGGGGGACUGGAAUUCUCGGUGUAGCAGUGAAAUGCGUAGAUAUCGAGAGGAACACCAGUGGCGAAGGCGAGUCCCUGGACAACACCUGACACUGAGGCACGAAAGCUAGGGGAGCAAA
rnacentral:rRNA from 1 species